UACGUAGGGAGCGAGCGUUGUCCGGAUUCAUUGGGCGUAAAGAGCUCGUAGGCGGCUUGGUAAGUCGGAUGUGAAACCUCCAGGCUCAACCUGGAGUCGCCAUCCGAUACUGCCAUGGCUAGAGUCCGGUAGGGGCCCACGGAACUCCUGGUGUAGCAGUGAAAUGUGUAGAUAUUCGGAAGAACACCAGUGGCGAAGGCAGCGAACUGGCGCUCGAUUGACGCUCAGGCACGAAAGCAUGGGGAUCAAACAGG
rnacentral:rRNA from 1 species